AACUAGGCCAGCUUCCUAGUGUCUGGUAUAAUAAUAUCAAAACUGCGCUGGGCGCUUAGAACGUGUCCAGCACCUCACAUGCAUGAGUGUAUUGAAUCCCACAGCAGGCCAGUCCUAUUAUUAUUCUGACUUUCCAAGCUGAAGAAAUGGAGACUUUUCAGAGUCACAUGGCUUGCCCAAGUCACCAGCUUGUUAAUCACAGAAGCAGGACUGCAGCCUGGGCCUGUCUCUCCCUGAAGCUGCCUCCUCUCUGGACCUGGACUGAGUCCUGGUGAUCGGGAAGGAGCGGCGGGCACAGGCAAGCCGCUGUCUGCUCAGGCUCGGGUUUCCUCAUCUGUGAAACGGGAACGGAUGUGGCUUCUUAACCAUUACGCUGUGUCCGUCACAGUCAUUCUCACUUCUCGAGUACCCAGUUGGUGGGAGUUCCAGUAUGGCACAGAGAUACAGGAUUGUGUUUUUGUUUUUUCACUCUGGAAUGAUCUUAGAGAAAUUUGAUGGGAAAAAUGAGAGCAGGGAAGGGUCAAAGGCCAGAGGUCCAGCCCUGCAUUUUCCAGGGUUGUGAUCUUUGCGUUUCGUCUCCUCAGCUGCAAGAUGAGUCACGGUUCUACUUCCCCUGGAAGGGCAGAAGUUGCAUAAGAUUGUUGAGGCUCAAGCGAGAUAAUGUGUGAGGCUGUUACUCCAGACUAGAGCCUUGAUUUUUAAACUUCAGCGUGCAUCAGAAUCGCCUGGAAGGUUUGUUAGAACCCCGCCCCCAGAGUUUCUCCUUCAGGGGGUCCAGGGUGGGCCUGAGAGUUUCUGAAGUGUUCCCAGGGGUUGCCGAUGCUGCUAGUCCAGGCACUAUAUUUAGGGAACCCCCGUCCUAAAGCCUCACCAAUUGAAUCUCCUAAGAUGAUGAAGAUGGCCUACAUCUGUGCUGUCCUAAACGGUAGCCAACAGCCACACGUGGCUACUGAGAACUCGGAGUGUGGCUAGCACGCCUGAGGACCCGAAUUUAAAAAACAGUUAAUUUUAAUUAACUUAAAUUUAAAUAGCCACGUAUGGUUGGUGGCCAGCGUUUUGGACAGUGUUGUUCUAGAGCUCAUCUGAGUUUGCAGAUGAAGAAACCGAGGCUUUGAGAGGUACCUCCCCUCCCUUGGAGUCUCAUGGCAAUCCUGGGGUGGUGCUCCGGCUGGCUGGCCUUCUUGAACAGGUCCUGUGAUAUGGGAACAUUUGAGUGCUUUGGGGGUGUCUUUGUUGCUUUGAGUUCCAGGUAGCUGAAAGGAGUGGGCUGGAAGGGGACGGGGAGACCCAUUUGCUGGCUCAUGACAAAGAUGAGAGCUGCAGACACAGCGCACAGCGGCAGGAAAAGGCUAAAUGAAAGAGGAUCAUCAGAGCGAAUCACGCUACUGCUCAGAAUGACCAGCUCUUCGGGAUUGAAGAAAGCUUCCUUCAUCCUGUCCUUGGCCUCCGUGGUCAAAGAGCUUCAGGGGCCUUGCUGACCUCCUUCCUCUCCAUUUUGCUGUGCCCUCUCACUGUCCCUGAACUUGAGAUCCUGGAGGUUUAGCUGUGCUCUGGGUCCCUUGAAGACUUCGGAGGCAAUCCACUAAGAAAUGGGGAUUUAAGUGAGACAUGAAGAAGAACUUCCUUAUGGCAAGAACUAUAAGAUGUUGAAGACAAGACACAGUAUUGGGAGUAAAGGCGGUGAGGCACGGAAAUAUAUUUACCAACACCCAGGGAACCGAGUCUUCUCCCCCAGGAUCCCUGCUCUGCUCGUUCAGUUGACACGAAGGCACUGGGGCCUGAAGGACACGGAACAGGUGAGGCCAGUCCCCCUGCUUGAACAGCUCUGUGUAGGAAAGGAGAUGACUCCCUCUCCCCUCUCCCCUCUCCCCACGGUCUCCCUCUCCCUCUCUUUCCCCGGUCUCCCUCU
rnacentral:lncRNA from 1 species